UGUGUGUGUGUGUGUGUGUGUGUGUGUGUGUGUGUGUGUGUUUGUGUGUGUGUUUGUGUGUGUCUUUAGUGUUCCUCAGGUGAUCUUGAAAUGUAGCUUUGGAAAGUGUUAUUAUAUAAUUCAAAUUAUUCAAUUUCAUUUGACAAAAAGUAUUAACGAUAUCCCAUUAUUUCAUAUUAUUACUAAGAAAAUAAUAGUGAACUUGUUCGAACAGAGUAACUGCCUGUGCAAGGUUACAUUAAUUAUAUCUGCUUAAUAACAGCAGAAAAUAAUGUCGGUCAGGUCUAUAAAAACCCUGACACGGUAGAUACAGUAUUUAUUAACACUUCUUCUCUGCAAUCGGAACUCUGCUGUACAAUUUACAUGAAGAGUACAUUCAGAUGCACAAGAUUAAAAUUAGUGUGAGAGUGACAGUUGGUGGUUAUAGGAAACGUGCAUGCAUGUAUAUUUAGAUGCCUCCUGUCGGCUUGGUUUUAUUCUUGGAGAAGUGAGGCUGUGGGAACAGGCUGUACACUUAGAGUAAGGAAGUCGAACAUUCUGCCUCUGUAGAUUCUUUUGAAUAAGUCGUGCACACCAGCCACGCAAAGGCAAGGGAAAACACGCUGAGGAGAACACAGAUAAUAAGGUGCUGUAUGUGUUCGUGUUCACAUACAGCAUCCAGACAAAGGCAUUAUUUUUUCCGCAGGUCGUUAACAAAUGCUUCGAUCUGGGUCUCCCAUGAACAAAAGUACUAGUCAGAGGAUACAGACACGAAGAACUGUGGAUUCCAGCUGUCCCUGCCUGCUUUCUCCUCAUCAUCUACACCCCCAAAUAUGUUACCCCUCCUCUGGGUUGCUUUCUCCUGCUGCUCCACCUUCCACAAAGGUCCCCAUCCGGCUCUUGGAAGGUUCCGGAUUCAGCUGGCUCUGGGUCCCUUUCCAGUGAGAGCACAUAGUGGUCAAGGAAGAGUUCCCUAUCCAGACAGCACUGACAACUGUCCCGCACGAGGUAGACAACAAUUGGGGAUGAGGAGACAUCCAGGAAAGACACAUCCGCCGAGGCAUCAAGUCGGUCACACAGCCUAACCAAGGAGCCAAGGCGGCUCUAAGGUUUCACCCCCUCCACCCCCCUCACCCUGCCUCCCGAGCCGGGACACUCACCCAGGCCCCC